rnacentral:tRNA from 1 species
GGCGGGUUGCCCGAGCGGCCAAAGGGAGCAGACUGUAAAUCUGUCGGCUUAUGCCUACGCAGGUUCGAACCCUGCACCCGCCACCG